CACGAUCACUCUCACCAUUGUCACCUGGCAGUUCACCCUCAAGAUCACCAUUAAACAACGAGAAUCCGAAAUCCCCAACGGUGGACUUAGUGGGAGAAGACUUAGAGGUAGAGGAACAAGAAGGGACAGAGGGAGAGCAAGAGCCUACAAAUGAG